rnacentral:rRNA from 1 species
GUGUCAGCAGCCGCGGUAAGACAGAGGUGGCAAGCGUUGUUCGGAAUUACUGGGCUUAAAGGGCGCGUAGGCGGUGGCGUAAGUCCGGGGUGGAAGGCUGAGGCUUAACCUCAGGAUUGCCCUGGAAACUGCAUCACUUGAGUCAGCAAGGGGAUGGCGGAAUUCCUGGUGUAGCGGUGAAAUGCGUAGAUAUCAGGAGGAAGGCCGGUGGCGAAGGCGGCCAUCUGGUGCUGAACUGACGCUGAGGCGCGAAAGCGUGGGGAGCAAACAGGAUUAGAUACCCUGGUAGUCC